rnacentral:rRNA from 1 species
CGGGGAAUAUUGGACAAUGGGCGAAAGCCUGAUCCAGCCAUGCCGCGUGAGUGAUGAAGGCCUUAGGGUUGUAAAACUCUUUCGCCGGGGAAGAUAAUGACGGUACCCGGAGAAGAAGCUCCGGCUAACUUCGUGCCAGCAGCCGCGGUAAUACGAAGGGAGCUAGCGUUGUUCGGAAUUACUGGGCGUAAAGCGCACGUAGGCGGGCUAUUAAGUCAGGGGUGAAAUCCCGAGGCUCAACCUCGGAACUGCCUUUGAUACUGAUAGUCUUGAGAUCGGGAGAGGUGAGUGGAAUUCCUAGUGUAGAGGUGAAAUUCGUAGAUAUUAGGAAGAACACCAGUGGCGAAGGCGGCUCACUGGCCCGAUACUGACGCUGAGGUGCGAAAGCGUGGGGAGCAAACAGGAUUAGAUACCCCUGUAGUCCCUGAGCGGGCUGGCAAGGCGCAU